rnacentral:sRNA from 1 species
GUGUGUGUGUGUGUGUGUGUGUGUGUGUGUGUGUGUGUGUGUGUCCUCUGCUUGGUUGGCCCCUAUCAGGGACAGCAAGUAUGUUAAAGGUCUUGGAUUAAUUUUGACACCAAAAUGUGUAAACUUUGGACUUAAAAAAAAUGACUGCAGCCAGAAGAUGAUGAAGCACACCUUUUAUUCCGGUACUUGGAGGCAGAGUCAAGCAGAUCUCUGUGAGUUCGAGGCCAGCCUGGUCUACAUAGUGAGCUCCAGCCUCUUGUGGUGCAGUUCUGUGCCCACCCCCAGCGGCUGUUGAGUGACUUCGAGAUGGUAUGUGGCUUGGGCUGCCCUGGAGUUAAGAACAAGGAAGUGAGAGGAGGCAGGGCAGGGUGUGACCGAAUGUUCUUGGGGCUGGUGGGAACAGAGCUGGGUCAGACAGAUCCCCUUUCUGCUAUCCUCCUCAUGCCUUCAUUUCCAAGUCUAGAAAAGCUGUGGGCCUAGAGAGGCACCAGGGGCACCAGGCAGCACUGGCUGAAGUUAAAAGACAAGUGAGAGGCAAGCACUCAGUUGCCACAAAGUCCAACAGCCUGAGUUCAGUUCCCGAGACCCACACGGUGGAAGGAGAGAACCAACUCCUCCGAGUUGUCCUCUUAACCUCCACAUGGCGAUGUGGCAUAUACCCAGCCCAAGUGAGAUCCUGGGAGAAAAUAUUCAGAAUAUAAAUAUAGUUAAAUGACUUGUUUCUACAAUAUGUAGAGAGUACUUGCAGAACAAUAGCAAGCAAUAGCAUAUCCUCUAUAGAAUCACAGAUAGUGUGGGUCAAUUCGUGGGAAAUGGCAGAGAGAUAAAGAAGUGUGGAAGACCUUUGCCCUUGUUGAUCAGGAGAACACAAAUUCAGAUAGCAAUGAACAGACAUUCCUCAUUCCUUAGGUCCACUUAAGUAGAAGAUAGAGGAUACAAAGUAUACUUUCCAGGAAACUGCUUUCCAGGAGAACCAAAAUGUGUGUUUUCUACAGCUUGGCUCUCUCUUCCGUUUUCUCCCUUAGAGAGGCAUCCACACAUAGGCACAAGCAAUGCAGCCCAGGUGGUGCUCUGGGAUCUCCAUCUUGGGUGCCUGCCCACCUUCGUCACUGGCAAUGAGCCUGCAGGAGUCCUGUGCUUGCAAGCAUCCCUUGCAGCUAGGUCUCCAGGAGCAGAUGUGCCCGCCCAGUCUCAGAAGCAGGGGUGGAGCCAAGCAGGCUCACCAACCGGGCAAUAGGAAGAGACUUCAAACACUAAACCGACCGACCUUGAGCCUGACCUUCGGCCACUCUUCUCAAAAAUGGCCUGACUUAGCUGAAAUUUGUCACUGAAACUUAGCACUUGUUCCAACAUGCCCAGGUCACACACAGUAACUUGAGGAAUCCUCACAAGCAUCCUGUGUGACCAGCACCAGGUCAAGGAACACACUCCAGGUCCCCAGAGUCCCCCUGGUGUCUCUUCUUAUGAUGACAAGCCACUCUCCAUGAGGGAGCCAUGCCUAUCUCCAAUACCACCCUGGUAGUGUGAGAUUGCAGGAACAGGUGUACCUGGUAUGUUCUUGUCAGGAGCUGGUUAUAAAAAGGCUGCUGUGAAUGUCUUUACCCUGUCUCCCAUGGCCGUCUAGCGGAUCACUUUGGCCAUCCAUCCAGGUGUAGAGAGGGCCUCUAAACUCGUCCUAAACUGUGUUACCCUGUGAUCAAGGAUGUGAAACACUUUGCACAGUGGCUGGUCCUUUGCACAAGUUCUGUGAUAAAGCACCACCCCCUAAGAGCUUACUGAA